UCUGAUAAUAUCUAUGAUCUGUGUCUGUGGCAGUCAGGAAACAUUACAAUGAUUUGUUUUCUACUCUGUGCAUUUCUGCUUUCUAUUCAAGCAUCAUUUGGGCAGAGAGUAAUGACUCAGUCUCCAGAUUUUGUCACUGUGUCACCAGGAGAAAGUGUCACCAUCGCAUGUAAAUGCAGUGACAGUCUUACGUCUGGCUCUACACAUUAUUUAGCUUGGUAUCAGCAAAAACCUGGUCAACCGCCAAAGCUUUUUAUCUUUAGAGCAAGCAGCAAAGCUUCAGGGAUCCCAGACAGGUUCAUUGGCAGCGGGUCUGGGACUGAUUACACUCUCACUAUUAGAGGUGUGCAAGCAGAGGAUGCAGCAGAUUAUUACUGUCAGCAGCACUAUGGUGCACCUCUCACAGUGAUACAGAGCUGUACAAAAACCUCUCUUCCUCUUCUUUAA